GGACGCGUAGCUCAGCGGGAGAGCACUACGUUGACAUCGUAGGGGUCACAGGUUCAAUCCCUGUCGCGUCCA
rfam:Brevundimonas sp. Root1279 contig_5, whole genome shotgun sequence.